CGGACGGGUGAGUAAUGUCUGGGAAACUGCCUGAUGAAGGGGGAUAACUACUGGAAACGGUAGCUAAUACCGCAUAACGUCGCAAGACCAAAGAGGGGGACCUUAGGGCCUCUUGCCAUCGGAUGUGCCCAGAUGGGAUUAGCUUGUUGGUGGGGUAACGGCUCACCAAGGCGACGAUCCCUAGCUGGUCUGAGAGGAUGACCAGCCACACUGGAACUGAGACACGGUCCAG
rnacentral:rRNA from 1 species